AUACGUAGGGGGCGAGCGUUGUCCGGAAUGAUUGGGCGUAAAGGGCGCGUAGGCGGCCCGGUAAGUCUGGAGUGAAAGUCCUGUUUUUAAGAUGGGAAUUGCUUUGGAUACUGUCGGGCUUGAGUGCAGGAGAGGUAAGUGGAAUUCCCAGUGUAGCGGUGAAAUGCGUAGAGAUUGGGAGGAACACCAGUGGCGAAGGCGACUUACUGGACUGUAACUGACGCUGAGGCGCGAAAGUGUGGGGAGCAAACAGGAUUAGAUACCCUGGUAGUCCACACUGUAAACGAUGAAUGCUAGGUGUAGGGGGUAUCGACCCCUUCUGUGCCGCAGUCAACACAAUAAGCAUUCCGCCUGGGGAGUACGGCCGCAAAGUUGAAACUCAAAUGAAUUGGCGGGG
rnacentral:rRNA from 1 species